rnacentral:rRNA from 1 species
AGUAACGCCUGGAUAACCUGCCUCAUACAGGGGGAUAACAGUUAGAAAUGACUGCUAAUACCGCAUAAGCACACGGGAGCGCAUGCUCCUGAGUGAAAAGCUCCGGCGGUAUGAGAUGGAUCCGCGUCUGAUUAGCUGGUUGGCGGGGUAACGGCCCACCAAGGCGACGAUCAGUAGCCGACCUGAGAGGGUGGCCGGCCACAUUGGGACUGAGACACGGCCCAAACUCCUACGGAAGGCAGCAG